rnacentral:sRNA from 1 species
GAUCCCCUUCCUGGACUACCGCACCUAUGCCGAGCGCGCCUUCUUCCCUGGCCAUGGCGGUUGCCCGCUGCAGCCCAAGCCUGAGGGGCCAGGGGAGGACGGCCGCUGUGCCACUGUGUGCCAGGGCCUCACACAGCUCUCCAACCUGCUCAACAGCAAGCUCUUCCUCCUCACGCACUACAUGGCAAGCUGGAGUACCUGACUGACAUCAUGAGGACCCUGCUGGGUGACCUAGCGGCCCAUUACGUGCACAGGAACCCCAAGCUCAUGCUACGCAGGACAGAGACCAUGGUGGAGAAACUGCUCACCAACUGGCUGUCCAUCUGCCUGUACGCCUUCCUGAGGGAGGUGGCUGGUGAGCCACUGUACAUGCUCUUCCGGGCCAUCCAGUACCAGGUGGACAAAGGCCCCGUGGAUGCCGUGACAGGCAAGGCCAAACGGACCCUGAAUGAUAGCCGCUUGCUGCGGGAGGACGUGGAGUUCCAGCCCCUGACGCUGAUGGUGCUGGUGGGGCCCGGGGCUGGCGGGGCCGCAGGCAGCAGCGAGAUGCAGCACGUGCCAGCCCGGGUGCUCGACACGGACACCAUCACCCAGGUCAAGGAGAAGGUGUUGGACCAAGUCUACAAGGGCACCCCCUUCUCCCAGAGGCCCUCAGUGCAUGCCCUAGACCUUGAGUGGCGCUCGGGCCUGGCUGGUCACCUGACCCUAUCGGAUGAA